GCCCGGCUAGCUCAAUCGGUAGAGCGUAAGACUCUUACAGUGGUCUUCCGACUCUGAUUAGUCAUCUUAAGGCUGUGGGUUCGACCCCCACGUCGGGCU
rnacentral:tRNA from 1 species